GUCACAGUCGCUCAAUGGAUGGAGCAGCGAUCUUCUAAGUCGCGUGAUGU
rnacentral:tRNA from 1 species